CACACAAUCUAGGGGCCGCGGGGCCGCGGGGCCCUUAAUCAGGUCAAGUGCCGCUUCAUUAAACUGCUGGUCGCUGCCAUGUAAAGCACCAGAGCUCAUCUCAGAGACUGUGCCCCUGGAGGACUCGCCGUAAUGGUUUCAGUGCUGACGGCUGCUCUAAUCAUUGGCUCCAACCUCAAUUUUACCAUUUAUUUCAUUCAGCACUGGUGUUUACGGGGAAACCCUGUGAAAUCGGCUCGAAUGUGCCGCUUCGGCGAGUAUAUUUACUUCCUGCAGGUCUGAGAUCAGUGAAUACUGACAGAUAUGAGGAGGAAGAUGCUUCAAAACAGACUGACAUACGCAUUAUUAUACAUGGAUCCUGCAAGAUGAUUCAACUACAGGCAUCAGCUGUAGAAAUCACUGUUAAUGAGAUCACACAUGCCAGAUUUAUUUAUUUAUUAAGUCAUAUUUGAUCCAGGUAUUAUGAAGACACGAGCAGCAGCGACUCAAAGCGCUUCAAGCUUCACUCACUGAACGGAAUUGAGGAAGACAGCAGGAGAAAGAGCAGCGUCUCUCACUGAUGGCAUCUUCAGAUCUGCUUCACACUGACGUCUUCACUGACGGCUCAGAAAUGGGCUCUUGUGGUGUAGUGGUUAACAAUCUGGGUCGAACCCCACUCAGCAUUGCAGUGAGGCUUUAUUAAUUAAAGCAUCAGCAAAAUUAUCUACAGAUACAUCUCAAGACAUCAUUGAGAUGUUUGCUCUAAUCAAACUAAAGUGCCAGACUCAUGUUUGUUCAGUACAGCUUUUAUAUAAAUGACAAUGAUAAUGCAAAUGAGGUGUUCACAGUUUGUAAGUGUGACUGGAUGAUGACAGGCUCUAGUGCGCCCCCUCUGUCCCGGCUGACAGAAUGACAGCGACACAUUUAAAUAUUUAACUUAGAUCAUUAGAGUCAAUGCAAAUGAGCCAUACAUGGGUUGAAGAUAUAUAAAUAAAUAUUGAGCAAUACUGAA